rnacentral:rRNA from 1 species
GCGUUGUCCGGAAUUACUGGGCGUAAAGAGCUCGUAGGUGGUUUGUCGCGUUGUCCGUGAAAACUCACAACUCAAUUGUGGGCGUGCGGGCGAUACGGGCAGACUGGAGUACUGCAGGGGAGACUGGAAUUCCUGGUGUAGCGGUGGAAUGCGCAGAUAUCAGGAGGAACACCGGUGGCGAAGGCGGGUCUCUGGGCAGUAACUGACGCUGAGGAGCGAAAGCGUGGGGAGCGAACAGG